rnacentral:rRNA from 1 species
UGGGGAAUUUGGACAAUGGGCGAAAGCCUGAUCCAGCAAUGCCGCGUGUGUGAAGAAGGCCUUCGGGUUGUAAAGCACUUUUGUCCGGAAAGAAAUCCUUGGCUCUAAUACAGUCGGGGGAUGACGGUACCGGAAGAAUAAGCACCGGCUAACUACGUGCCAGCAGCCGCGGUAAUACGUAGGGUGCAAGCGUUAAUCGGAAUUACUGGGCGUAAAGCGUGCGCAGGCGGUUUGCUAAGACCGAUGUGAAAUCCCCGGGCUCAACCUGGGAACUGCAUUGGUGACUGGCAGGCUAGAGUAUGGCAGAGGGGGGUAGAAUUCCACGUGUAGCAGUGAAAUGCGUAGAGAUGUGGAGGAAUACCGAUGGCGAAGGCAGCCCCCUGGGCCAAUACUGACGCUCAUGCACGAAAGCGUGGGGAGCAAACAGGAUUAGAUACCCUGGUAGUCCACGCCCUAAANGAUGCAACUAGUUGUUGGGAUUCAUUUCCUUAGUAACGUAGCUAACGCGUGAAGUUGACCGCCUGGGGAGUACGGUCGCAAGAUUAAAACUCAAAUGAAUUGACGGGGUCAUAGCUG